CGCGUGUCCCGACCACCCCCCAUUGCCGGGACACUGCGCGGCGGCAUCCCAUUCCCCCCGAUGGGAUGCCGCCCCCU
rfam:Microbacterium aurum strain KACC 15219, complete genome.